rnacentral:rRNA from 1 species
AUUGAACGCUGGCGGCAGGCUUAACACAUGCAAGUCGAGCGGGGUGAUGGUGCUUGCACUAUCACUUAGCGGCGGACGGGUGAGUAAUGCUUAGGAAUCUGCCUAUUAGUGGGGGACAACAUCUCGAAAGGGAUGCUAAUACCGCAUACGUCCUACGGGAGAAAGCAGGGGAUCACUUGUGACCUUGCGCUAAUAGAUGAGCCUAAGUCGGAUUAGCUAGUUGGUGGGGUAAAGGCCUACCAAGGCGACGAUCUGUAGCGGGUCCGGGAGGAUGAACUGCCGCAGUGGGGCUGAGGCACGGCCCAGGCUAGUACGGGAGGCAGCAGUGGGGAAUAUGCGAUAAUGGGGGGCACCCUGAGCCAUCCAUGCCGCGUGUGUGAAGAAGGUCUUAUGGUUGUAAAGCACUUUAAGCGAGGAGGAGGCUCUUUUGGUUAAUACCCAAGAUGAGUGGACGUUACUCGCAGAAUAAGCACCGACUAACUCUGUGCCAGCCGCCGCCGUAA